GCCUACGGCCAUACCACCCUGAGAACGCCCGAUCUCGUCUGAUCUCGGAAGCUAAGCAGGGUCGGCCCUGAUUAGUACUUGGAUGGGAGACCGCCUGGGAAUACCAGGUGCUGUAAACU
rnacentral:rRNA from 1 species